rnacentral:lncRNA from 1 species
GCCGGUGUGUUUGUUGUGAGAGGGAAACACCUCAGAGCGGCGGGCCUCUGCGGGGGCGCCGCCGCCCACCCCCACCCUGAGCCGCUGUAAUGUGAAGCAGGCGUCAUGUGACCUGAGAACACACUGCAGACACGUGUGAACACUGAGCCGUGUGUUAACAUGCAGUGAGUCACAUGGUCUCAUGACUCGCUCAGACACUGAGGACGCUGUUCUGAUCUCUGUCUCUGCAGGAGGUCAGAGGUCACAAGACCACACGUCUUUAGCCACCACUGAUUUUCAGUGGAGUGAAAUGAUGUCUGAGGCCACCGCCUCCGUUAAAGGUUGAUGAAGAAUAUGAAUCAUCUGAAGCUAUAAAACAUAAAAACAUCAUCAGUCCUCCGGGUGGACCCUGUAGGAGUAUUGGCUGGUUGUCACUCUCUUCCUGCUCUGUGCACCAGAGAGGUACGCGCAUGAUGGUCACAGACCGCAGCUCGUCUUCAGGUGAUGCGCGUCCAUGUGAUUGGAGGCGUGGCUUCAGGGUGAGCUCCAAGAGAAAGGGGCGUGUGUUUACUUUGAAAUCUUUGGAGCCGCCAUGUUGGACCAAUCAGCAGAGAGCCAGGACUGCCCAGAGGAACCAGUCCUGUAGGGAGAUCUGCCUCAUGGCUGCCAGGGGGGUUCCCAAACAACGCUGCGUUGCCGUGGAGACGCCCCAGCCUGUUGCCUCGGUGACCCCACUUGCUCAGAGCACACACAUGGAUGUCCAGACCCACACACGGUCCUGUGUGCUGUGUUUUCCAGUGAGAGCCAGAGGCCGCUUGUGCAGCUGACUGUGGGGGACUUGGAGCUGACGGAGGUCUUUAGAUCCACGCUGCACCUCUGAACUGCAUGUGACAACCAGGCGGGUCAUGUGACUCAUCAGUGGUUUGUGUUGGACAUACGGACACAUGAAGUCCGUCCAGGUGUGUCUGAGAUUCUGAAGGACAAACCCCUC